rnacentral:rRNA from 1 species
UACGGAGGGUGCAAGCGUUGUCCGGAAUCACUGGGCGUAAAGGGCGCGUAGGCGGCUCAUGAAGGCUGUGGUGAAAGUCCGGGCUCAACCUCGGAUCGGCCGUGGCGACUCGUGGGCUGGAGCACUGUAGAGGCGGGUGGAAUUCCGGGUGUAGCGGUGGAAUGCGUAGAGAUCCGGAAGAACACCAGUGGCGAAGGCGGCCCGCUGGGCAGUGGCUGACGCUGAGGCGCGACAGCGUGGGAGCA